rnacentral:lncRNA from 1 species
UCUAAUAAUUCUUCAACAUCUUAUGAUUUAAAAAUUUUUUCUAAUGUUUAUUUUUGAGAGAGUGAGAGAGAGAGAGAGAGAGAGCGUGCGCGCACAAGUGGGGGAGGGGCCGAGAGAGAGAGGGAGACACAGAAUCUGAAGUUCCAGGCUCUGAACUGUCAGCACAGAAACCGACACGGGGCUUGAACCCACAAACCGUGAGAUCAUGACCUGAGCCAAAGUUGGACGCUUAACGGACUGAGCCACCCAGACGCCCCAGCAUCUUAUGACCUUAAAUCAAGAAGAUGGUGGCAACAGUGAGGAAAAUAAUGACUCUGUUGCAGGAAGCAUGGGGCUCAACUCCAAGGUGAUGGUCACCAAGAAGCUCUGCCUCAGACAAAGGGACAUUCCUCUCCUCUGGGCUCCCCUGGUACCUUCUGCUCGGAACCGACAGAGAACUGCCCAUCUCCCCUGUGCUGUAGGCCCCAGGGGCUGCUGUAGGGUCUGACACAUCUGUUUAGCUCCAACACAGGGUCUCAGUGGCCUGAAUCUGUUUCGAAAGACAUGUUCUAAGUUCAUGUAGCAAAGUUCCACGCGCCUUGCAUUUCGUAUGCAUCCUGAUUUGAUGGUGCUGCUGUGCACCUUUUUAGGAGCCAAGCGAAGUGAGGAGCACUCGUGUGUCCGAUCAAACGGAGUGUGUCAGCGUGAUACUCAUUUCAGAUGAGCUUCAGAAAAGAUGUGACAUGACUUCUUAAAGGGACAUACGUGCUGCCUAAGUAGCCCUUCUCCAGCUGCUUCCUGGUGGAAGCCCAAAUGCAAAGCCUCUUCAGGGCGCUGGUUUGUGCAACCACGGGGCUCAGCGUUUCCUCUAAAGCCACACUUCUCUCCCUGCAGAGGCCGGUUGGAAUUUC